GAGUUACUGANCCUUCGGGGAANGUUAACGGCGUCGAGCGGCGGACGGGUGAGUAAUGCCUGGGAAAUUGCCCUGAUGUGGGGGAUAACCAUUGGAAACGAUGGCUAAUACCGCAUAAUAGCUUCGGCUCAAAGAGGGGGACCUUCGGGCCUCUCGCGUCAGGAUAUGCCCAGGUGGGAUUAGCUAGUUGGUGAGGUAAGGGCUCACCAAGGCGACGAUCCCUAGCUGGUCUGAGAGGAUGAUCAGCCACACUGGAACUGAGACACGGUCCAGACUCCUACGGGAGGCAGCAGUGGGGAAUAUUGCACAAUGGGCGCAAGCCUGAUGCAGCCAUGCCGCGUGUAUGAAGAAGGCCUUCGGGUUGUAAAGUACUUUCAGCAGUGAGGAAGGUGGAGUCGUUAAUAGCGGCCUCNUUUGACGUUAGCUGCAGAAGAAGCACCGGCUAACUCCGUGCCAGCAGCCGCGGUAAUACGGAGGGUGCGAGCGUUAAUCGGAAUUACUGGGCGUANAGCGCAUGCAGGUGGUUUGUUAAGUCAGAUGUGAAAGCCCGGGGCUCAACCUCGGAAUUGCAUUUGAAACUGGCAGACUAGAGUACUGUAGAGGGGGGUAGAAUUUCAGGUGUAGCGGUGAAAUGNGUAGAGAUCUGAAGGAAUACCGGUGGCGAANGCGGCCCCCUGNACAGAUACUGACACUCANAUGCGA
rnacentral:rRNA from 1 species